rnacentral:rRNA from 1 species
GUAGGGAAUAUUGCACAAUGGGGGAAACCCUGAUGCAGCGACGCCGCGUGAGUGAUGAAGGCCUUCGGGUCGUAAAGCUCUGUCGUAUGGGACUAACACAAUGAAGGUACCAUGCAAGAAAGGAUCGGCUAACUUCGUGCCAGCAGCCGCGGUAAGACGAGGGAUCCUAGCGUUGUUCGGAAUCAUUGGGCGUAAAGCGGGUGUAGGCAGAUUUAUAAGUCAGGUGUGAAAUCCCAGGGCUCAACCCUGGAAGUGCACUUGAUACUGUAAAUGUUGAGUGUGGUAGAGGUUACUGGAAUUGUUGGUGUAGUGGUGAAAUACGUAGAUAUCAACAGGAAUACCGGAGGCGAAGGCGAGUAACUGGGCCAACACUGACGCUGAGACCCGAAAGCGUGGGGAUCAAACAGGAUUAGAAACCCUAGUAGUCC